AAUGGGACAGACGAGAGUGAAUGAAUGAAUGUAUUUUACCAACAGGAAUGCAAUAUGACAUUCAACAACAACGGCGUACAUUCUGAAGGAAUGAUGUCCAAUGACUGUAGAAUCGAACGGUGGAUAGGUGUUUCGAAAAAAAGGCAUCCUCUAGAUUUUCUUUUCCUGAUCUUUAGUUGAAUGCGUCUGAGAGGAAAUCGUGGAAACAUCAGGAAGUGAUUUCAAACUUUAGUUUCGAUCACCCGAUAAGUGAAACAUAAGCGGGGCCCAGUUCUGAGAAAAUAUGGAGUAUAGCUUUGCAAUCAGUAUUGCCCAUGCUAUCUUUGGAACAAGUUGUCGACCUACAGGCCUAGUCUUUUAAAAAACGAAGUAGGCAUGCCUUACUCUUCCACGAAGACUGCUGAUAACCCCAUGCAUCACCUGUGUCGUCACCAUUGCAACCCUCAACGAGAGGAGCAGGAAAGAAGGGGGCUACUACAGACAGACCAAAGGCCGAAGAGGAACAGUUCCAUGAAUCCAAGCAAGGCUCAGAGCCAUGACCUUGUGAAGAAGAUAUUUUCAUGAUUCUCCUUAAGUCUUCCUGUACCUCACCUUCUCCACAUUGACGAGUGGAUACCAUACCAGUGGAUACCAUGCGCGACCCCCAAAACACGUAAAGGGAUGUCUUUUUCAAGAUAUGGCACGUUACGUACGUAACGUAAUAAGAUGAAAAAGGGGUAUCUAUUUCGCUAGGAAAGCUACGUUUUUAGGGUCGAAUUUGUGAGGGUAUACAAAAGACAAAUGUUUUAUAAAGAAUGUACGUUUUGCCCCGUCAACACAUACGUGUUUAGAGUCCGAUUUGCGCGAGGUGUGGGAGGUUGAGCCGUAUACCCAAUGAUGUAGGUAAAGGUAAAACUGACGUCCGUGACAUAACUAAAAUAUCGCUGUACUAGUUUAUGGGUUCAAUUCAGGGAAUACUUGCCAAGGGUAUCGUUUUGUUUCCAAUAUUAGAUCUACUUGUUAAGGGUAGGCUUUCACACGCCAAUACUUGUUAAGGGGUGCAUUUUCAGAAUAUGGAAAAUACUUGUUUAGGGUGCUUUUUAAGACCCCAUGGUCGCGCAUGCAUGGUAUCCAUUUCUUUGUUUUGCCAAACCUUUGUUUUUUAUUGUUUUUUGUGAUGAAAUUUGUCGGGGACCCUUGUGCAAUCAUAAAUAGGAUAAAAUAAAUCCAUAUAAACGAACGAUAGUAAAAAUAAUCAAACAUUUAUGAAUUUUGGUUGAAAAACACAAUUUGCAUUUACUUUCUACAUGGACUCACGUUUUUGAGCAAUUUCGGGUCUGACAUGCAUUUACAAAAUUUUGCAUAAUUUAGGAACUGCGUUUCUGGAUGUUGCAAAUUUGGUCGCAAGACUUGAAAGUAAAAAAGCAGCGAGCGGGGUGGUCAUAAAAAUUGGCGCGACGGCGCAUGCAGUGACGAAAUUUGUUGAGGUGGGAUCAAAUUGACCCCCCCCCCCCAGUUUAAUUAGGGUUAAAGCGCACACAUAACAAUUAAAAAAGGACAAAACACUUUAUCCAUGUAAUGAAUAUUGUGUGUUUAAUAAUAAUGUCACCCAUCAUCUUGUGUAUGCAGUAAAAACGGGCAGAUUGAAAUGUUGAAGAUGCUACAUGGGAUUCCCACUGAAAUCUGCCAAAAGAAAUUGACAUUUGUUCAUAAAGGAAGUGUGACUGAAUUCACUCCGCCAUCAUCAGGAUUUUAUCCUGUUAAUGCUGUUGUCACAUUUCCCAUACGGUGCCUGCAUCGUGAGGUUUUAGGUUUUUAAGAUCAGCUUAAUUUCUUAUUUCAGCUUUUCUCUGUUCAAAAGUAUAGGAGCUUUUUUAACUUAUGCUAUUUUUGGCUUAUGGUUGGCAGCUGUGCUUACUCAUGUGAGUAGUAACCUCCAUUUUUUGUUACUUUCCUCCAACCCAGCCAGAAGAUGCAAUUGAGGACUGAACAGAUGCAUUGAAGAGAGAUCAUAAAGGAGUCAAAGUUGUCUAUCGUAGAGCACUAGCCAGAAAGGAAGGACAAGUACAGGCCCAGGACGAGCUGGUCGUUAUCAGCCAGAGAUGAUCGAUCAUUAUGGGUUCUUUUGUACCAGUGACUGCCAGCGAUUUUUUUUGCAGAGACCAGUGGACCGAUAGAAUGAAGAAAUGCAUUAGAAAAUUCUGUGUCACAAAGGACUGUAUAAACCAAUUUAAAAAGACCUUUAUUAUUUCAAACCCAGAUCUAGAUGUCAAAACUUUCACAGGAUACUGUAUUCAGGGUUCCUAGCCCAUCAGGGAAAAUUAUUUUCCUUUUUCCAGUCAGGGAAAAAUCAGGGAAUUUGAUUUUUUUUUUAAUGCAUGAAAUCAGGGGAAAAUGCCUCAAAUGAGGGGGAAAUCAGGGAAUUUUGAUCGGCCCAGAAAUCGAAAGUAUGGUAGUCAGUCAGACUGUGUUUAUUUUGUUGCAUCAAAACAACAUCCUUUGAAUGACUGGUUAGGGUGGGGUUUUUUUCAUGUAAUCCACUGCUACAACUACAUGCGAAACUGGGAAUUAUCAGGGAAUUGUUAAACUUCAUCAGGGAAAAUCAGGGAAUUUGUUUUCUUGAAAAGCUUGGAAGCCUGGUAUUUGAAAACUUUACUAUUCAACCAAAGUAGAGCUAUGGAAAUCAGAAGCGGAUCUAGA